GGAAUGUUAGCUCAGUUGGGAGAGCAAUUGCCUUACAAGCAAUAGGUCGGGGGUUCAAAUCCCUCACAUUCCA
rnacentral:tRNA from 1 species